CCUACGGGCGGCAGCAGUGGGGAAUAUUGGACAAUGGGGGCAACCCUGAUCCAGCCAUGCCGCGUGUGUGAAGAAGGCCCUCGGGUUGUAAAGCACUUUCAGUGAGGAAGAACGCCUGGUGGUUAAUACCCAUCAGGAAAGACAUCACUCACAGAAGAAGCACCGGCUAACUCCGUGCCAGCAGCCGCGGUAAUACGGAGAGUGCGAGCGUUAAUCGGAAUUACUGGGCGUAAAGCGCGCGUAGGUGGCUUGAUAAGCCGGUUGUGAAAGCCCCGGGCUCAACCUGGGAACGGCAUCCGGAACUGUCAAGCUAGAGGGCAGGAGAGGAAGGUAGAAUUCCCGGUGUAGCGGUGAAAUGCGUAGAGAUCGGGAGGAAUACCAGUGGCGAAGGCGGCCUUCUGGACUGACACUGACACUGAGGUGCGAAAGCGUGGGUAGAAAACAGGAUUAGAUACCCCGGUAGUC
rnacentral:rRNA from 1 species